CCGACGGUGAGGGACGAAAGCUGGGGGAGCAAACCGGAUUAGAUACCCGGGUAGUCCCAGCUGUAAACGAUGCGCGUUAGGUGUGUCAGUGACCACGUGUCACUGAUGUGCCGAAGGGAAACCGUGAAACGCGCCGCCUGGGGAGUACGGUCGCAAGGCUGAAACUUAAAGGAAUUGGCGGGGGAGCACCACAACGGGUGGAGCUUGCGGUUUAAUCGGACUCAACGCCGGAAAUCUCACCGGAUAA
rnacentral:rRNA from 1 species